UACGUAGGGUGCAAGCGUUGUCCGGAAUUAUUGGGCGUAAAGAGCUCGUAGGCGGUCUGUCGCGUCUGCUGUGAAAAUCAGGGCUCAACCCUGGACCUGCAGUGGGUACGGGCAGACUAGAGUGCGGUAGGGGAGAUCGGAAUUCCUGGUGUAGCGGUGAAAUGCGCAGAUAUCAGGAGGAACACCGGUGGCGAAGGCGGAUCUCUGGGCCGUAA
rnacentral:rRNA from 1 species